AGCGUUGGCCGCGGGCUGGGAGGGGCUGGGCGCCCGGCCGGGCGCGUUUCGGGCCGCUGCCGGGAUUGGGACCGGGACGCCCGCCCACGCUGCCGCCGCGGGACAGCGACGCGAAACACAAGUACGGCUUGUUUUGGGGGAUUUUUUUGUGUUUUGGCUUUUUUUUUUUUUCUUAUAGUUAUCGUUAUUUUUACUGUGACUAAAAGGCCUGCUUUAAAGACACUUAGAGGUUGUUCCUUCGAAGGUUUGGAACUACGAACAAGCGCAAAGUGCACAAAUCGUCGCUCGAGGGCUCCGGCGGCCGCUCCGGCCCGGUUCGGUGGUUCUUCCCCCUCUCCCUGGUUCCCGAACUCAGCGCUUUGCUCAGGGUUUUCUUCCUUCUUUCUAUUUAAAUUGAAAAGGGGGGCGGAGGGGCGAGAGGGUCGCCCAGCUCCCGGCCGUUGGUUUUGUCGUCUUCGCUACUYGAAGCCGGUUCCGCGUGGCGGUGGCGGAGCUGCCCGGCCCGCGGGGCGCUCGGCUGCGUGUGGGGCCGGAGGUGCCCGUGGGACCCCCGCGAAGGGGGGGCAUCGCGGUGGGGCGUGCGGGGCCGCGGCGCUCGCCGGCGAUAUUCGCGCUUCGCCCACGUGGGAUGCCCAAACGGGGACUCGCCCGUCGGCCCACGGCGGYCUGGAGGCAUCUCGGGCGCCUCGCGGGCCCCAAGGAGCCCACGUGGGGUCCGGCUGCCGGGGGGGGGCACCAGCCCCAUCGCAGCAAGCUCCCACCGCGGCCCGCUGCUCUCCAGGGGUUCGGCACCGCCUCUGCCGAGCCCGGAGCUGGGCUCUGCCGCACUCGGCACGCGUGUGGGUGCCCGCGGCGGUCCCAGGACGGGUUCCUCUCCCCGGGGCACCCGCGAGGGCCGGCGGACCAAACCCCUCCCGGAGAGCCGGGCGGCGAGGCAGCAGCGUUACUGGCCUGGCGUGGCAUGGCUUGGGGCAGAGAGCCUGGAGGGAGUCGAGUUGCACACUGAAAAAAUAUAUUUUUAUACCUAGCACAACUUCCUGUAUAUUUUGGGGGUUUUUUCUUUCUUUCUUUCUUUCCUUUUUUCUUUUUUCUUUUUUUUUUUUUUGA
rnacentral:lncRNA from 1 species